GAUGAACGCUGGCGGCGUGCCUAAUACAUGCAAGUCGAGCGAACGGACGAGAAGCUUGCUUCUCUGAUGUUAGCGGCGGACGGGUGAGUAACACGUGGAUAACCUACCUAUAAGACUGGGAUAACUUCGGGAAACCGGAGCUAAUACCGGAUAAUAUUUUGAACCGCAUGGUUCAAAAGUGAAAGACGGUCUUGCUGUCACUUAUAGAUGGAUCCGCGCUGCAUUAGCUAGUUGGUAAGGUAACGGCUUACCAAGGCAACGAUGCAUAGCCGACCUGAGAGGGUGAUCGGCCACACUGGAACUGAGACACGGUCCAGACUCCUACGGGAGGCAGCAGUAGGGAAUCUUCCGCAAUGGGCGAAAGCCUGACGGAGCAACGCCGCGUGAGUGAUGAAGGUCUUCGGAUCGUANAACUCUGUUAUUAGGGAAGAACAUAUGUGUAAGUAACUGUGCACAUCUUGACGGUACCUAAUCAGAAAGCCACGGCUAACUACGUGCCAGCAGCCGCGGUAAUACGUAGGUGGGCAGCGUUAUCCGGAAUUAUUGGGCGUAAAGCGCGCGUAGGCGGUUUUUUAGUCUGAUGUGAAAGCCCACGGCUCAACCGUGGAGGGUCAUUGGAAACUGGAAAACUUGAGUGCAGAAGAGGAAAGUGGAAUUCCAUGUGUAGCGGUGAAAUGCGCAGAGAUAUGGAGGAACACCAGUGGCGAAGGCGACUUUCUGGUCUGUAACUGACGCUGAUGUGCGAAAGCGUGGGGAUCAAACAGGAUUAGAUACCCUGGUAGUCCACGCCGUAAACGAUGAGUGCUAAGUGUUAGGGGGUUUCCGCCCCUUAGUGCUGCAGCUAACGCAUUAAGCACUCCGCCUGGGGAGUACGACCGCAAGGUUGAAACUCAAAGGAAUUGACGGGGACCCGCACAAGCGGUGGAGCAUGUGGUUUAAUUCGAAGCAACGCGAAGAACCUUACCAAAUCUUGACAUCCUUUGACAACUCUAGAGAUAGAGCCUUCCCCUUCGGGGGACAAAGUGACAGGUGGUGCAUGGUUGUCGUCAGCUCGUGUCGUGAGAUGUUGGGUUAAGUCCCGCAACGAGCGCAACCCUUAAGCUUAGUUGCCAUCAUUAAGUUGGGCACUCUAAGUUGACUGCCGGUGACAAACCGGAGGAAGGUGGGGAUGACGUCAAAUCAUCAUGCCCCUUAUGAUUUGGGCUACACACGUGCUACAAUGGACAAUACAAAGGGCAGCGAAACCGCGAGGUCAAGCAAAUCCCAUAAAGUUGUUCUCAGUUCGGAUUGUAGUCUGCAACUCGACUACAUGAAGCUGGAAUCGCUAGUAAUCGUAGAUCAGCAUGCUACGGUGAAUACGUUCCCGGGUCU
rnacentral:rRNA from 1 species